AUUGAACGCUGGCGGCAGGCCUAACACAUGCAAGUCGAACGAGUGGCGGACGGGUGAGUAAUGUCUGGGAAACUGCCUGAUGGAGGGGGAUAACUACUGGAAACGGUAGCUAAUACCGCAUACCAUCGGAUGUGCCCAGAUGGGAUUAGCUAGUAGGUGGGGUAAAGGCUCACCUAGGAGACGAUCCCUAGCUGGUCUGAGAGGAUGACCAGCCACACUGGAACUGAGACACGGGCCAGAUUCCUACGGGAGGCAGCAGUUGGGAAGAUUGCUCAUGGGGCGCAAGCCUGAUGCGGCCAUGCCGCGUGUAUGAAGAAGGCCUUCGGGUUGUAAAGAGCUUUCAGCGGGGAGGCGUUACCCGCAGAAGAAGCACCGGCUAACUCCGUGCCAGCCGCCGCGGUAAUUC
rnacentral:rRNA from 1 species